UGAGGAAUAUUGGGCAAUGGGCGCAAGCCUGACCCAGCCAUGCCGCGUGCAGGAUGACGGCGCUAUGCGUUGUAAACUGCUUUUGUACAGGAAGAAACUCCCGCUCGUGAGCGGGAUUGACGGUACUGUCAGAAUAAGCAUCGGCUAACUCCGUGCCAGCAGCCGCGGUAAUACGGAGGAUGCAAGCGUUAUCCGGAUUCAUUGGGUUUAAAGGGUGCGUAGGCGGAGUACUAAGUCAGUGGUGAAAUCCUGCAGCUUAACUGUAGAACUGUCAUUGAUACUGGUAUUCUUGAAUGCAGUUGAGGUAGGCGGAAUGUGUAAUGUAGCGGUGAAAUGCUUAGAUAUUACACAGAACACCGAUUGCGAAGGCAGCUUACUAAACUGUGAUUGACGCUGAGGCACGAAAGCGUGGGGAGCAAACAGG
rnacentral:rRNA from 1 species